rnacentral:lncRNA from 1 species
AAGAUAAGGAUCAAGUCACAGAUGUAUAUAGUUCAGAUGUAGGAAACACAAAACGUACAAAGACAAAUGAUACACAAAUUGAUUAUACGCAAAUCGAAAACUAUACCGAAAAAGAAAUUCAAAAUAUACAAUUAAAUCCGAAAGUGGAUAAUAGUAAUAAUCUCAUAAAAAAUGUUAACUUAGACCUAGGUGAGGAAAAAGAGACAAUAAAUAACGAUAUAGAUAAUAAUGUAAGUGAUACAUAUGAUAGUGACGCUUAUAGAAGUUUGGAUGAAGGUGCAAAUCAUUGUGUUAAUGAAAGUAUUGUGAACAAAAAAAAUGGCAACGAAACGAUGAGUUUGUAUAUAGAAAAUGUAAUAACGAAUGUAAAUAAAAAUGAGAAGAAUAAUACUGAGCAUAAUAAUAUGAAUCAAUUAAAUUACAAUAAUAACUGUAAUAGUGAUAAUAUUAAUUAUAACAAUAUUAGUAAUAAUGUUGAUGGUACUACAUUUAACAGUCAUAAUAAUAAUAAUGACUCUAACACUUUUAUAAGUGACAAGUUGGACAAAAACUAUUUAAGUAAGAUUAUUUCUAAUGGAGCAAUUGAAAAUGAUUUUAGUACUUCUAAAGAGGAUAUUGUAGGUGAACAAUCAGAUGGAAAAGAAGAUAAACCAGAUAUCAUCACUAUCAACAGCAACACAAUGAACAAUUUUUUUUCCAUAAAAAAAAAUAAAUUUACAAACAAACAAAUCCAUUUUGGAGACACGUGUGUAUCUGAACAUGAGUUUGAAUCAAACGAGCAAAAAAAAACAAAUUCAGAUGAAAAUAAAAAUAAUGAAAAAAAACGAAAAACUUAUUUUGAUUCUGAAAUUAUAGAAUCUGAUACUUCCUACAAUAGUAAUAAUUUUAAAAAAAUAAAAAAAAAUGAAAAUAUUAUAAAUAAUCAAAACAAUGUAGUAAAAUACACUGUUGGACAAGAUGAUAGUAACAAUAGCAGCUACACCGAUAAUGACCAUAGUAAUUACAGCGAUAACAGUAACGAUGACAAUAUUGAUCAAUGUAUUUAUAACGAUAAAUAUAUUAACUAUAACAGAAACAACAACAACAACAACAACAACAACAAUAACAACAAUAAUAACAAUAACAACAAUAACAACAAUAACAACAAUAACAACAAUAAUAACAAUAACAACAAUAAUAACAAUAAUAACAGUUAUAACGAAAGUGAAGACGAUAUAGAGGUGGACAGUGAGGUGGAUAGCCAAAAUGGAGAACAUGAGGGAAAAAUAUACUUCAGCCAUAAAAACAGAAAUAAUUUCCCAUUAGGUAACAAUAAUAUUUACGACAUUAGAGAACAUUCAUAUAAUCAUAUGGCACAGGUACAGUUUGGUAAUAGAAAGCAGGAAUUCCAAAACGAUAGUGAAACAGAAGAAGAACAUAGUUCAGGAAGUAAUAAAAGUUGCUAUACAAUCUCUUCAGAUAAUAAUAGUGACAAUGAAAAUAAUAAUUAUAUAAGUAAUGAUAAUACGAGAAAAAUGACGAACAAACAAAAGAACGAGAAUGAAGGGGAUGAAGAGGAUGUAGAGUAUGAAGAGUAUGAAGAGGAUGUGGAGGAAGAAGAAGUUGACGAAGUUGAAGAGGUGGACGAAGUGGAUGAAAUGGAUAAUUGUAAUGAACGUAUCGUUAGAGGUGAUACACCAGAAACAAUAUAUAGUGGUGUGCAUUAUGAGGAACAUAAUAAAAAUUAUAAUAAUGGCAUAACUGACAUAACUGGCAUAAC